GUUAGUUCACUAAUACACACUAAAAUUGGAUCGAUACAGAGAAGAUUAGCAUGGCCCAUGUGCAACGGUGACUUACAAAUUCAUGUAACGUUCCUUAUUUUC
ensembl:snRNA U6 U6 spliceosomal RNA